AACCUAGCACACCUGCGGUGUGUACCUGCGGAGGGAUCAUUACAGAGAUUGAUGCACCAAGUGCAUCACCUCCAACCCCUUGCGAAAACAACUAUCAUGUGUUGCUUUGGCAGUGUUUCCACUGCCAGAGGUUUACAUAAAAUCAGCUGUUUGGAUGUUGUCUGAGUAAACUAUAUGAAUUAUUUAAAACUUUCAACAACGGAUCU
rnacentral:misc_RNA from 1 species